rnacentral:rRNA from 1 species
AACGUAGGAGACAAACGUUAUCCGGAUUUACUGGGCGUAAAGGGCGUGUAGGUGGUUUCGUAAGUCUGGCGUGAAAUUUCUCGGCUUAACCGAGGCAGGUCGUCGGAUACUGCGGGGCUUGAGGACGGUAGAGGCGUGUGGAAUUCCGGGUGUAGUGGUGAAAUGCGUAGAGAUCCGGAGGAACACCAGUGGCGAAGGCGACACGCUGGGCCGUGCCUGACACUGAUGCGCGACAGCAUGGGGAGCAAACAGG